GACGAACGCUAGCGGCAGGCUUAAUACAUGCAAGUCGAGGGGUAACAGGGGUAGCAAUACCUGCUGACGACCGGCAAACGGGUGCGGAACACGUACGCAACCUCCCCAAAUUGGUGAAUAGCCUUCCGAAAGGAAGAUUAAUACACCGUAACAUAAUGAAGUGGCAUCACUUUAUUAUUAUAGCUCAGGCGAUUUUGGAUGGGCGUGCGCCUGAUUAGGUAGUUGGCGGGGUAACGGCCCACCAAGCCUGCGAUCAGUAACUGGUGUGAGAGCACGACCAGUCACACGGGCACUGAGACACGGGCCCGACUCCUACGGGAGGCAGCAGUAAGGAAUAUUGGUCAAUGGACAAGUCUGAACCAGCCAUGCCGCGUG
rnacentral:rRNA from 1 species